rnacentral:tRNA from 1 species
CAGGGAGACAACAAAAUGUUAAAUAUUAAUCUUGUCACCUUAGGUCGAUCGGUAUCUCAGGUUCUUAAUUACUUUAAGAAUUUCAUUUCCUAAGUUUUUUCUAGGUCACACCCAUUACUUUCCCUGGGCCAUUAGCUCAGGUGGUUAGGGCGCACCCCUGAUAAGGGUGAGGUCCCUGGUUCAAGUCCAGGAUGGCCCAUAUCUCUAUGUUGGGGGUAUAGCUCAGUUGGUAGAGCGCCUGCUUUGCAAGCAGGAUGUCAGCGGUUCGAGUCCGCUUACCUCCACUGAUUACCACCUCUUCCAUAAAUUUAAAGAAGGGAAUAGUUAUGGGCGUUGAUUUACUUCUGAACGAAUCUAGCUUCCUAAUAAAUACAUUAAGAUGCUGGACUCAUUGAAUUUUAUUCAUUGUUUUCAGAGAACCUUGACAACUGCAUAGAUUAUUUUUAAAGACAAUAAGCAUCUUUAAUGAUGCAGAUUUAUUAUUUGUGCAAAUGCAUUAAUAACAAUUCUAUUGAGCUGAUGCUUCAAUUAUUUGAAGUUAUU